rnacentral:rRNA from 1 species
UACGUAGGGUGCAAGCGUUAAUCGGAAUUACUGGGCGUAAAGCGUGCGCAGGCGGUUCGCUAAGACAGAUGUGAAAUCCCCGGGCUUAACCUGGGAACUGCAUUUGUGACUGGCGGGCUAGAGUAUGGCAGAGGGGGGUAGAAUUCCACGUGUAGCAGUGAAAUGCGUAGAUAUGUGGAGGAACACCGAUGGCGAAGGCAGCCCCCUGGGUCAAGACUGACGCUCAUGCACGAAAGCGUGGGGAGCAAACAGG